rnacentral:rRNA from 1 species
GACGUAGGGUCCAAGCGUUGUCCGGAUUUACUGGGCGUAAAGAGCGCGUAGGCGGCUCGUUAAGUGUGACGUGAAAUCUCCAGGGCUCAACCCGGAAACUGCUUUACAUACUGGCGAGCUGGAGUGAUGCAGAGGCUUGUGGAAUUCCUGGUGUAACGGUGAAAUGUGUUGAUAUCAGGAGGAACACCCAUGGCGAAGGCAGCAAACUGGGCAUCAACUGACGCUGAGGCGCGAAAGCGUGGGUAGCAAACAGG